rnacentral:lncRNA from 1 species
UUUCAGUUAUCAUUCUUUUUGUACUUCUUUAUACUUAAGAAUCACCUGCUGCUCUCCUUGAGGCAUAUCAACAAAGGGAUAAAACUAAAAAGGGAAUUGACACAGCAACAGAGGUUUCUGAUAAGCUUUUAGAAAUUAUUCCGUGCAUACAUUUUGCUUUUACAAUGGCCCUGCUUCUUGCAUAUGUUAUCAUGACAUUUAUGUUUACGUGGAUAAAGAAGCCACAAGAUUGACUAAGAGGCUUUCAAUUUUUGGUAUGCAAGUUAAUCUCAAGAUUUUGGAUACCCUCUUGUUUGUGGCUUGUGAAUCUUUUUUUUUUUUUUUAAUUUUUUUAUGCUUAAAUUUCCAGCUAAUUGAUGCUAGUGCAUAGCUCUGUUACGUCGUCAGAGAAUAUCUCUUUAAUUCUCAGGUGUGGUUUCUCAGACUCGUCUGUGGUUUUGUUUAUGAAUGCCUUCUAUCACAUUCCAAUUGUUGAUACUUGAAAACAUUCAAUUAGGGAAGAAAGCUAAUUCUCUCAUUUGAUUUGCAGGGUUAGUACUUUGAUUCCUCUGGUAUUGCAGCAGUAUGGGGUAUCUUGAUUUAUAUCCUAUAUGCCAUUAUUCUUAAUGCAGCCAUAAAUCAAUGUUUUAUUAUCAAUUAUUAAAGUGAAGAUAUUAUUUUAGCUUUUGAAGUAAUUCGAAAAAUGU